AUUGAACGCUGGCGGCAGGCCUAACACAUGCAAGUCGAGCGGAGGAAGGGAGCUUGCUCCUGGAUUCAGCGGCGGACGGGUGAGUAAUGCCUAGGAAUCUGCCUGGUAGUGGGGGAUAACGUCCGGAAACGGGCGCUAAUACCGCAUACGUCCUGAGGGAGAAAGUGGGGGAUCUUCGGACCUCACGCUAUCAGAUGAGCCUAGGUCGGAUUAGCUAGUUGGUGGGGUAAAGGCCUACCAAGGCGACGAUCCGUAACUGGUCUGAGAGGAUGAUCAGUCACACUGGAACUGAGACACGGUCCAGACUCCUACGGGAGGCAGCAGUGGGGAAUAUUGGACAAUGGGCGCAAGCCUGAUCCAGCCAUGUCGCGUGUGUGAAGAAGGUCUUCGGAUUGUAAAGCACUUUAAGUUGGGAGGAAGGGCAGUAAGUUAAUACCUUGCUGUUUUGACGUUACCAACAGAAUAAGCACCGGCUAACUCCGUG
rnacentral:rRNA from 1 species